CUGAAGUCAGAAAGGCAGGCAGGGUCCAGAUCACCCAGGGUUCAGGAAGUAGGGUGAAUAACUUGAUAUGUCAGGAUGGAAGGACAAAUCUAGACAGAAACUGAAGGUCAGAAAGAACAUGUCAAUUGCUCCAAGUCACACAGCCAGUAAACGGCAGAGAAAAGGAAUGCUUAAACCCAGAACUGCUAGCUCUGUCCGGAUGCUCCUCCAUACAUCAGACAUGGACUCCUUCCAGUGGAUCAUGAGGUCAUCUGUCUCAUACUCCAAUGCCCGUGGGAACUGAAUAGAUUGAUGGCUUCCAUCUUCAUCCUAAGUACAGUAAACCAGGAACUCUUCUUACACUGCUGGGGUGAGCUAUCCAGCAAGCCUUCCUCCUUCAGAAAUCUCCAGAAAGAAAAAGGCACCAGCCUUUAUGUUUAUAUCUCAAAACUUCAUGGAAACAAGGAGAGAAGAAGGAAAAAGCAUUGGCCUGAAGGAAGAGAUUAUAAGACCAUAUAAGACCAUAUUGGAAAGAGCUGGGGAGAUAAAGUAGAUCUGGCUUUUUAUGGAAGAAGCAGGAAGGGCCUGAUCAUGCAAGCUGAUAGAGGCAUACUAAGCAAAUCAUUU